CUACAACUAAAUGAAUUGGGAAAAGUAAUAAUUUUUUAAUUCAAAACAACUUUUUGAGUUGAAAUAAUCGUGCCACCCAUUCCCCUAGACAACUCACUUCUGAAAUCAACAGUCUUCCAACGUUUCUCUCUCUCUCUCUCUCUCUCUCUCUCUCUCUCUUCAUAUUUUUCUUCCCAUUCCUCAUUCUUCGACUCAGCCUUCCACUUUCAUCUUCUUCCACCGUCAACUUUUGCUUCUUAGACAAAACACGCUGAAGAACAUGAAAGUUUCAUCAACAAGGUUACUCAUUUGUUGAAUGUUCUUGGCUUUGGUGGGUUUUGUUUCCUCUUAGGGGCAAGUUCGAUUUCAACUCCAAAUGAAACUUUUUGAAAAUUUACAUGAUUGUGAAACAUUUUUCACAAUUUUAUGCACUUUGGUUGUCUAUGAAAAUGCCUCAACAAGCUGCGAAGAAGAACACGUUUAUGAGACGGAGAAACUCACUAUAGCUCAACGAAAUAGAAUAUGUAAGAAGAAGAUGAAGGAAGAAUCCAUCCUUUGUGGAAAGUUAAUUGGCAUGUCGAUGCCUCCAUCCUAGUCAAAACAGGCUAGGGAUGAUGAUCCUCCACCUGUUCGAUAAAAUAAUUCUUAGAAAGGCUAUCUAACUAUGAAUCUGUUGGCUAUUUUUUUAAUGGCUAUUGAGGAUGUCCUAUUCUCUCUGACUGAUUUGAUUUAGGUGAUGAGACUAGCUGUGAUAACGCCAAGAGAGUGAAGCAGCGGAGGAUGGUGAAAAAAGGUUAUCAAAGAUACCCAUUGUAACACCCGGUAUUUAAUUAAUUAUUUAAUUAAAUACUUUCAAAUUAUUUCGAAUUUAAUUAUUGAAUUUGUGGAGUGUUGAGAAUUGUUGACAUGGGUUUUAUGAUUAAUUAGUUGAUUAAUUAAUUGAUUAAGUUGUAGAAAUAGUAUUGAAGAAAUACUAAAUUUACUAUAUGGACUUAAUUAAGUGAUGGUGGUAGUAAAACGUGGGGUGUGAAUGUUAGGCCCAAUAGGUUUAAUGAAAUUAAGUUAAGAUAAGGAUUAGGCUAAUUAGAAGAGAAAAAGUCUUGGGGAAUUGGUCAUGGGAAGUUGUAGAGAAGAGAGAAAAUAGGAGAGAAAUUCAUUCCCGUUUUUCUUGCAGCAGUCUCACUAAAUCGAAGAUCCCCGAUUCGUUAACCGUUGGAUCGUCGCCACAUUUUGUGGGUAGGUUCGAAACACCUAUAGCUAACUUUUGACCGUUGGGAUCUUCAAAAUAAGGUCUGAGUUGUGAGAUAUGAUCAUCGCACUGUAGCUGCAUAUUUGGGAAAAUUUUCAGCUUUUGAUUCUGAUUAAAAGAGGCAAUGGUUGGGAGCUAAGGCUAGAUGGCUUCGAUCGGUAGAAUUGUAGAACGGACUCCGAAUACAAGGUAAGGGGUGGGGUUCUAACUCUAUAACCGGACUCAUGAUGAAUGAUAUGUGGGGGUUAAAUUCGUAGGAAAUUAUACCUGAUUAUUUGUUGUGAUUCUGUCGUGUUGAUUCGAUGAAAUUAGUUGUUGUUGUGGUGAUAAUUGUUGUUGUUUUAUGCGAAGUUGAAGGAUGUUUCAGUGACGAUGUAUACCUCUAUUUAUUAGUAUAGCGACGAUAUAGGCUUAUGCCUUGUGACGAUGAUGUUGUUUGUUGUGUGUGUUUGUUGCAUUCAUAUACAUAUUCAUUUUUGGCGACGGCCUGGAUUGGCAAAUUAGUGACGAAGGCUUAUGCCUUGAUGCCUCUGUUUAACUGGCAAUUGGCGAUGGGGGCUGAAGCCCUGGGUACCACAUGCAUGUGCAGUUGUAGAGUCUCAUUGUAUGCGGCAUGAGUGUGAUUUAAUUGUGACGUGAUGUGACUUGAGUUGUUGUUAAAUUGUGAUAAUAUGGAGUUGUAAUUAUAAAUUGUUAUACUAAUGACGUGUUGUGACAGGUAUUGUCUGGAAGAUGAGAAAUAGUUUUUAUAACUAUUAAUAUGUUGUUGUUAUUGAUUUUUGUUAAUAUAACUGUUCAGGUUAAUUGUUAUUAUAAAUGUAGUCUGAAAGCUGUAACGUGAUAAUUUCGUAUGAUUAAAUUCUAAUAUAUUGUUUAUCAUGCGUUUGUUUAUAUUGGUAGAUAUCUCACCCUUUCUGAAUGAUGUUUCCCUACCAUGGGAAAUUGACAGGUACUCAAGAUAGCGGUGGAAGUUUGAAGUGAUUUUAUGAAGUCUUUAGUUGCUGUUAGUCGAGUUGGUGUCUUGCUCUGAUACGUAGCACUCGGGGGGAUAAAGCGAUUGUUUUAAUUAUUAUUUCUUUUGCUGAAUUUUUAUAUGGUUUUGGUUUAAAUUGUAACUUAAAGUUACCGUGCAAUGAUGCUACGACUUGAACUGAAUAUUUAUGAAGUUUGUUGAUUCCGCUGCGAGUUAAUUAUUGAAUUUAAACAAAGUGAUUUUUAGUAAUGAUUUGAUUAUCGUUUUAAAUUUAUGUGCUAUGUAUCUAUGUGAAGGCAAAUAAGCCGUAACUGUUUUUGAAAUGACGAAUAUGUGAUACCUCAAAUGAACUUGUUUGGAAUUUAUACUCUGAUUUUAUUAUAUUUUUCGGGUAGAAUUUGGGGUGUUACAUUAGUGGUAUCAGAGCCCGGUUGGUCCGUCCGGCCAAGUUGUCUAAUGUUAUUUAUUCCUCUGUACGCGACAAGUGUGUGAAACACUGUCGGUACUUGUUGCUUUCUGGUUGUUGCAGGAAUUAGUUUGAGCGAAGUGGGGGAGAAGCUUUGCUUCUCGGAUGUGGUUCAGUUGCAAGUUCGCAAAGAGGAUUGUUGUCUGGGUGUUUCGAAAACUGAAUUUCGACGAAAGAAUGUGUCUCUCGAGUUAUAAAAAGUUUGGGAGUGAGGAGAUAUGUUAAGAGUUUUUUUGGAAUAUGUUUAAGUUGAAGAAAAAUGAGUUUUGGAGUGGAAAUUCCGUAAGCAAAACGCAGGAAAUUGCUGAAUGUUUUGUGAAACUUCAAAAAUUCAUAACUUGAGUUCUGGACAUCCGAUUUGAGUCCCGUUUGAAGCGUUGGAAAGCUAACGAGAUGAAAUUUAUUUUAAAAAUGGUUCCAUCAUCUUUAAUAGAAUUAUUUGUAACAAGAUGAUGUUGGAAAGAGAUGAAGUUUGCGUUUACGCUUGUCCUUGGGACCAGACUUGUGCGUUGGUGUCGCGCUGAACGUUAGUGUCAGAGUUGAGUGAAUUGAAGGAGCAAUUAAAGGGUUUGUUUAGAAGAAAUUUUAAGAAUUAGGUGUACCAUUUGAGAAGUUUUGGGGAUACCGUAAAGAGUGUCGCCGCAUGGCGUCGAUGUUCGCACUUUCGAAUGGCGUUGGAAUAGUUAACAAGUUAGUAACGGUUAUGUUGAAGAAGUACCAGAAUGGUCGACAUAUGUGUAGUCGAUUUGAGAUGUGUCAAUGGGUUGUUAUGUUUGAUGGUUGGACGUGGAAGUGAAGUUGAAGAUGGGUGUAUCGGAUAAAUUUUCGAGGACGAAAAUAUUCUAAGUGGGGGAGAGUUGUAACACCCGGUAUUUAAUUAAUUAUUUAAUUAAAUACUUUCAAAUUAUUUCGAAUUUAAUUAUUGAAUUUGUGGAGUGUUGAGAAUUAUUGACAUGGGUUUUAUGAUUAAUUAGUUGAUCAAUUAAUUGAUUAAGUUGUAGAAAUAGUAUUGAAGAAAUACUAAAUUUACUAUAUGGACUUAAUUAAGUGAUGGUGGUAGUAAAACGUGGGGUGUGAAUGUUAGGCCCAAUAGGUUUAAUGAAAUUAAGUUAAGAUAAGGAUUAGGCUAAUUAGAAGAGAAAAAGUCUUGGGGAAUUGGUCAUGGGAAGUUGUAGAGAAGAGAGAAAAUAGGAGAGAAAUUCAUUCCCGUUUUUCUUGCAGCAGUCUCACUAAAUCGAAGAUCCCCGAUUCGUUAACCGUUGGAUCGUCGCCACAUUUUGUGGGUAGGUUCGAAACACCUAUAGCUAACUUUUGACCGUUGGGAUCUUCAAAAUAAGGUCUGAGUUGUGAGAUAUGAUCAUCGCACUGUAGCUGCAUAUUUGGGAAAAUUUUCAGCUUUUGAUUCUGAUUAAAAGAGGCAAUGGUUGGGAGCUAAGGCUAGAUGGCUUCGAUCGGUAGAAUUGUAGAACGGACUCCGAAUACAAGGUAAGGGGUGGGGUUCUAACUCUAUAACCGGACUCAUGAUGAAUGAUAUGUGGGGGUUAAAUUCGUAGGAAAUUAUUCCUGAUUAUUUGUUGUGAUUCUGUCGUGUUGAUUCGAUGAAAUUAGUUGUUGUUGUGGUGAUAAUUGUUGUUGUUUUAUGCGAAGUUGAAGGAUGUUUCAGUGACGAUGUAUACCUCUAUUUAUUAGUAUAGCGACGAUAUAGGCUUAUGCCUUGUGACGAUGAUGUUGUUUGUUGUGUGUGUUUGUUGCAUUCAUAUACAUAUGCAUUUUUGGCGACGGCCUGGAUUGGCAAAUUAGUGACGAAGGCUUAUGCCUUGAUGCCUCUGUUUAACUGGCAAUUGGCGAUGGGGGCUGAAGCCCUGGGUACCACAUGCAUGUGCAGUUGUAGAGUCUCAUUGUAUGCGGCAUGAGUGUGAUUUAAUUGUGACGUGAUGUGACUUGAGUUGUUGUUAAAUUGUGAUAAUAUGGAGUUGUAAUUAUAAAUUGUUAUACUAAUGACGUGUUGUGACAGGUAUUGUCUGGAAGAUGAGAAAUAGUUUUUAUAACUAUUAAUAUGUUGUUGUUAUUGAUUUUUGUUAAUAUAACUGUUCAGGUUAAUUGUUAUUAUAAAUGUAGUCUGAAAGCUGUAACGUGAUAAUUUCGUAUGAUUAAAUUCUAAUAUAUUGUUUAUCAUGCGUUUGUUUAUAUUGGUAGAUAUCUCACCCUUUCUGAAUGAUGUUUCCCUACCAUGGGAAAUUGACAGGUACUCAAGAUAGCGGUGGAAGUUUGAAGUGAUUUUAUGAAGUCUUUAGUUGCUGUUAGUCGAGUUGGUGUCUUGCUCUGAUACGUAGCACUCGGGGGGAUAAAGCGAUUGUUUUAAUUAUUAUUUCUUUUGCUGAAUUUUUAUAUGGUUUUGGUUUAAAUUGUAACUUAAAGUUACCGUGCAAUGAUGCUACGACUUGAACUGAAUAUUUAUGAAGUUUGUUGAUUCCGCUGCGAGUUAAUUAUUGAAUUUAAACAAAGUGAUUUUUAGUAAUGAUUUGAUUAUCGUUUUAAAUUUAUGUGCUAUGUAUCUAUGUGAAGGCAAAUAAGCCGUAACUGUUUUUGAAAUGACGAAUAUGUGAUACCUCAAAUGAACUUGUUUGGAAUUUAUACUCUGAUUUUAUUAUAUUUUUCGGGUAGAAUUUGGGGUGUUACAUUAGUGGUAUCAGAGCCUGGUUGGUCCGUCCGGCCAAGUUGUCUAAUGUUAUUUAUUCCUCUGUACGCGACAAGUGUGUGAAACACUGUCGGUACUUGUUGCUUUCUGGUUGUUGCAGGAAUUAGUUUGAGCGAAGUGGGGGAGAAGCUUUGCUUCUCGGAUGUGGUUCAGUUGCAAGUUCGCAAAGAGGAUUGUUGUCUGGGUGUUUCGAAAACUGAAUUUCGACGAAAGAAUGUGUCUCUCGAGUUAUAAAAAGUUUGGGAGUGAGGAGAUAUGUUAAGAGUUUUUUUGGAAUAUGUUUAAGUUGAAGAAAAAUGAGUUUUGGAGUGGAAAUUCCGUAAGCAAAACGCAGGAAAUUGCUGAAUGUUUUGUGAAACUUCAAAAAUUCAUAACUUGAGUUCUGGACAUCCGAUUUGAGUCCCGUUUGAAGCGUUGGAAAGCUAACGAGAUGAAAUUUAUUUUAAAAAUGGUUCCAUCAUCUUUAAUAGAAUUAUUUGUAACAAGAUGAUGUUGGAAAGAGAUGAAGUUUGCGUUUACGCUUGUCCUUGGGACCAGACUUGUGCGUUGGUGUCGCGCUGAACGUUAGUGUCAGAGUUGAGUGAAUUGAAGGAGCAAUUAAAGGGUUUGUUUAGAAGAAAUUUUAAGAAUUAGGUGUACCAUUUGAGAAGUUUUGGGGAUACCGUAAAGAGUGUCGCCGCAUGGCGUCGAUGUUCGCACUUUCGAAUGGCGUUGGAAUAGUUAACAAGUUAGUAACGGUUAUGUUGAAGAAGUACCAGAAUGGUCGACAUAUGUGUAGUCGAUUUGAGAUGUGUCAAUGGGUUGUUAUGUUUGAUGGUUGGACGUGGAAGUGAAGUUGAAGAUGGGUGUAUCGGAUAAAUUUUCGAGGACGAAAAUAUUCUAAGUGGGGGAGAGUUGUAACACCCGGUAUUUAAUUAAUUAUUUAAUUAAAUACUUUCAAAUUAUUUCGAAUUUAAUUAUUGAAUUUGUGGAGUGUUGAGAAUUAUUGACAUGGGUUUUAUGAUUAAUUAGUUGAUCAAUUAAUUGAUUAAGUUGUAGAAAUAGUAUUGAAGAAAUACUAAAUUUACUAUAUGGACUUAAUUAAGUGAUGGUGGUAGUAAAACGUGGGGUGUGAAUGUUAGGCCCAAUAGGUUUAAUGAAAUUAAGUUAAGAUAAGGAUUAGGCUAAUUAGAAGAGAAAAAGUCUUGGGGAAUUGGUCAUGGGAAGUUGUAGAGAAGAGAGAAAAUAGGAGAGAAAUUCAUUCCCGUUUUUCUUGCAGCAGUCUCACUAAAUCGAAGAUCCCCGAUUCGUUAACCGUUGGAUCGUCGCCACAUUUUGUGGGUAGGUUCGAAACACCUAUAGCUAACUUUUGACCGUUGGGAUCUUCAAAAUAAGGUCUGAGUUGUGAGAUAUGAUCAUCGCACUGUAGCUGCAUAUUUGGGAAAAUUUUCAGCUUUUGAUUCUGAUUAAAAGAGGCAAUGGUUGGGAGCUAAGGCUAGAUGGCUUCGAUCGGUAGAAUUGUAGAACGGACUCCGAAUACAAGGUAAGGGGUGGGGUUCUAACUCUAUAACCGGACUCAUGAUGAAUGAUAUGUGGGGGUUAAAUUCGUAGGAAAUUAUUCCUGAUUAUUUGUUGUGAUUCUGUCGUGUUGAUUCGAUGAAAUUAGUUGUUGUUGUGGUGAUAAUUGUUGUUGUUUUAUGCGAAGUUGAAGGAUGUUUCAGUGACGAUGUAUACCUCUAUUUAUUAGUAUAGCGACGAUAUAGGCUUAUGCCUUGUGACGAUGAUGUUGUUUGUUGUGUGUGUUUGUUGCAUUCAUAUACAUAUGCAUUUUUGGCGACGGCCUGGAUUGGCAAAUUAGUGACGAAGGCUUAUGCCUUGAUGCCUCUGUUUAACUGGCAAUUGGCGAUGGGGGCUGAAGCCCUGGGUACCACAUGCAUGUGCAGUUGUAGAGUCUCAUUGUAUGCGGCAUGAGUGUGAUUUAAUUGUGACGUGAUGUGACUUGAGUUGUUGUUAAAUUGUGAUAAUAUGGAGUUGUAAUUAUAAAUUGUUAUACUAAUGACGUGUUGUGACAGGUAUUGUCUGGAAGAUGAGAAAUAGUUUUUAUAACUAUUAAUAUGUUGUUGUUAUUGAUUUUUGUUAAUAUAACUGUUCAGGUUAAUUGUUAUUAUAAAUGUAGUCUGAAAGCUGUAACGUGAUAAUUUCGUAUGAUUAAAUUCUAAUAUAUUGUUUAUCAUGCGUUUGUUUAUAUUGGUAGAUAUCUCACCCUUUCUGAAUGAUGUUUCCCUACCAUGGGAAAUUGACAGGUACUCAAGAUAGCGGUGGAAGUUUGAAGUGAUUUUAUGAAGUCUUUAGUUGCUGUUAGUCGAGUUGGUGUCUUGCUCUGAUACGUAGCACUCGGGGGGAUAAAGCGAUUGUUUUAAUUAUUAUUUCUUUUGCUGAAUUUUUAUAUGGUUUUGGUUUAAAUUGUAACUUAAAGUUACCGUGCAAUGAUGCUACGACUUGAACUGAAUAUUUAUGAAGUUUGUUGAUUCCGCUGCGAGUUAAUUAUUGAAUUUAAACAAAGUGAUUUUUAGUAAUGAUUUGAUUAUCGUUUUAAAUUUAUGUGCUAUGUAUCUAUGUGAAGGCAAAUAAGCCGUAACUGUUUUUGAAAUGACGAAUAUGUGAUACCUCAAAUGAACUUGUUUGGAAUUUAUACUCUGAUUUUAUUAUAUUUUUCGGGUAGAAUUUGGGGUGUUACAUUAGUGGUAUCAGAGCCUGGUUGGUCCGUCCGGCCAAGUUGUCUAAUGUUAUUUAUUCCUCUGUACGCGACAAGUGUGUGAAACACUGUCGGUACUUGUUGCUUUCUGGUUGUUGCAGGAAUUAGUUUGAGCGAAGUGGGGGAGAAGCUUUGCUUCUCGGAUGUGGUUCAGUUGCAAGUUCGCAAAGAGGAUUGUUGUCUGGGUGUUUCGAAAACUGAAUUUCGACGAAAGAAUGUGUCUCUCGAGUUAUAAAAAGUUUGGGAGUGAGGAGAUAUGUUAAGAGUUUUUUUGGAAUAUGUUUAAGUUGAAGAAAAAUGAGUUUUGGAGUGGAAAUUCCGUAAGCAAAACGCAGGAAAUUGCUGAAUGUUUUGUGAAACUUCAAAAAUUCAUAACUUGAGUUCUGGACAUCCGAUUUGAGUCCCGUUUGAAGCGUUGGAAAGCUAACGAGAUGAAAUUUAUUUUAAAAAUGGUUCCAUCAUCUUUAAUAGAAUUAUUUGUAACAAGAUGAUGUUGGAAAGAGAUGAAGUUUGCGUUUACGCUUGUCCUUGGGACCAGACUUGUGCGUUGGUGUCGCGCUGAACGUUAGUGUCAGAGUUGAGUGAAUUGAAGGAGCAAUUAAAGGGUUUGUUUAGAAGAAAUUUUAAGAAUUAGGUGUACCAUUUGAGAAGUUUUGGGGAUACCGUAAAGAGUGUCGCCGCAUGGCGUCGAUGUUCGCACUUUCGAAUGGCGUUGGAAUAGUUAACAAGUUAGUAACGGUUAUGUUGAAGAAGUACCAGAAUGGUCGACAUAUGUGUAGUCGAUUUGAGAUGUGUCAAUGGGUUGUUAUGUUUGAUGGUUGGACGUGGAAGUGAAGUUGAAGAUGGGUGUAUCGGAUAAAUUUUCGAGGACGAAAAUAUUCUAAGUGGGGGAGAGUUGUAACACCCGGUAUUUAAUUAAUUAUUUAAUUAAAUACUUUCAAAUUAUUUCGAAUUUAAUUAUUGAAUUUGUGGAGUGUUGAGAAUUAUUGACAUGGGUUUUAUGAUUAAUUAGUUGAUCAAUUAAUUGAUUAAGUUGUAGAAAUAGUAUUGAAGAAAUACUAAAUUUACUAUAUGGACUUAAUUAAGUGAUGGUGGUAGUAAAACGUGGGGUGUGAAUGUUAGGCCCAAUAGGUUUAAUGAAAUUAAGUUAAGAUAAGGAUUAGGCUAAUUAGAAGAGAAAAAGUCUUGGGGAAUUGGUCAUGGGAAGUUGUAGAGAAGAGAGAAAAUAGGAGAGAAAUUCAUUCCCGUUUUUCUUGCAGCAGUCUCACUAAAUCGAAGAUCCCCGAUUCGUUAACCGUUGGAUCGUCGCCACAUUUUGUGGGUAGGUUCGAAACACCUAUAGCUAACUUUUGACCGUUGGGAUCUUCAAAAUAAGGUCUGAGUUGUGAGAUAUGAUCAUCGCACUGUAGCUGCAUAUUUGGGAAAAUUUUCAGCUUUUGAUUCUGAUUAAAAGAGGCAAUGGUUGGGAGCUAAGGCUAGAUGGCUUCGAUCGGUAGAAUUGUAGAACGGACUCCGAAUACAAGGUAAGGGGUGGGGUUCUAACUCUAUAACCGGACUCAUGAUGAAUGAUAUGUGGGGGUUAAAUUCGUAGGAAAUUAUUCCUGAUUAUUUGUUGUGAUUCUGUCGUGUUGAUUCGAUGAAAUUAGUUGUUGUUGUGGUGAUAAUUGUUGUUGUUUUAUGCGAAGUUGAAGGAUGUUUCAGUGACGAUGUAUACCUCUAUUUAUUAGUAUAGCGACGAUAUAGGCUUAUGCCUUGUGACGAUGAUGUUGUUUGUUGUGUGUGUUUGUUGCAUUCAUAUACAUAUGCAUUUUUGGCGACGGCCUGGAUUGGCAAAUUAGUGACGAAGGCUUAUGCCUUGAUGCCUCUGUUUAACUGGCAAUUGGCGAUGGGGGCUGAAGCCCUGGGUACCACAUGCAUGUGCAGUUGUAGAGUCUCAUUGUAUGCGGCAUGAGUGUGAUUUAAUUGUGACGUGAUGUGACUUGAGUUGUUGUUAAAUUGUGAUAAUAUGGAGUUGUAAUUAUAAAUUGUUAUACUAAUGACGUGUUGUGACAGGUAUUGUCUGGAAGAUGAGAAAUAGUUUUUAUAACUAUUAAUAUGUUGUUGUUAUUGAUUUUUGUUAAUAUAACUGUUCAGGUUAAUUGUUAUUAUAAAUGUAGUCUGAAAGCUGUAACGUGAUAAUUUCGUAUGAUUAAAUUCUAAUAUAUUGUUUAUCAUGCGUUUGUUUAUAUUGGUAGAUAUCUCACCCUUUCUGAAUGAUGUUUCCCUACCAUGGGAAAUUGACAGGUACUCAAGAUAGCGGUGGAAGUUUGAAGUGAUUUUAUGAAGUCUUUAGUUGCUGUUAGUCGAGUUGGUGUCUUGCUCUGAUACGUAGCACUCGGGGGGAUAAAGCGAUUGUUUUAAUUAUUAUUUCUUUUGCUGAAUUUUUAUAUGGUUUUGGUUUAAAUUGUAACUUAAAGUUACCGUGCAAUGAUGCUACGACUUGAACUGAAUAUUUAUGAAGUUUGUUGAUUCCGCUGCGAGUUAAUUAUUGAAUUUAAACAAAGUGAUUUUUAGUAAUGAUUUGAUUAUCGUUUUAAAUUUAUGUGCUAUGUAUCUAUGUGAAGGCAAAUAAGCCGUAACUGUUUUUGAAAUGACGAAUAUGUGAUACCUCAAAUGAACUUGUUUGGAAUUUAUACUCUGAUUUUAUUAUAUUUUUCGGGUAGAAUUUGGGGUGUUACAUUAGUGGUAUCAGAGCCUGGUUGGUCCGUCCGGCCAAGUUGUCUAAUGUUAUUUAUUCCUCUGUACGCGACAAGUGUGUGAAACACUGUCGGUACUUGUUGCUUUCUGGUUGUUGCAGGAAUUAGUUUGAGCGAAGUGGGGGAGAAGCUUUGCUUCUCGGAUGUGGUUCAGUUGCAAGUUCGCAAAGAGGAUUGUUGUCUGGGUGUUUCGAAAACUGAAUUUCGACGAAAGAAUGUGUCUCUCGAGUUAUAAAAAGUUUGGGAGUGAGGAGAUAUGUUAAGAGUUUUUUUGGAAUAUGUUUAAGUUGAAGAAAAAUGAGUUUUGGAGUGGAAAUUCCGUAAGCAAAACGCAGGAAAUUGCUGAAUGUUUUGUGAAACUUCAAAAAUUCAUAACUUGAGUUCUGGACAUCCGAUUUGAGUCCCGUUUGAAGCGUUGGAAAGCUAACGAGAUGAAAUUUAUUUUAAAAAUGGUUCCAUCAUCUUUAAUAGAAUUAUUUGUAACAAGAUGAUGUUGGAAAGAGAUGAAGUUUGCGUUUACGCUUGUCCUUGGGACCAGACUUGUGCGUUGGUGUCGCGCUGAACGUUAGUGUCAGAGUUGAGUGAAUUGAAGGAGCAAUUAAAGGGUUUGUUUAGAAGAAAUUUUAAGAAUUAGGUGUACCAUUUGAGAAGUUUUGGGGAUACCGUAAAGAGUGUCGCCGCAUGGCGUCGAUGUUCGCACUUUCGAAUGGCGUUGGAAUAGUUAACAAGUUAGUAACGGUUAUGUUGAAGAAGUACCAGAAUGGUCGACAUAUGUGUAGUCGAUUUGAGAUGUGUCAAUGGGUUGUUAUGUUUGAUGGUUGGACGUGGAAGUGAAGUUGAAGAUGGGUGUAUCGGAUAAAUUUUCGAGGACGAAAAUAUUCUAAGUGGGGGAGAGUUGUAACACCCGGUAUUUAAUUAAUUAUUUAAUUAAAUACUUUCAAAUUAUUUCGAAUUUAAUUAUUGAAUUUGUGGAGUGUUGAGAAUUAUUGACAUGGGUUUUAUGAUUAAUUAGUUGAUCAAUUAAUUGAUUAAGUUGUAGAAAUAGUAUUGAAGAAAUACUAAAUUUACUAUAUGGACUUAAUUAAGUGAUGGUGGUAGUAAAACGUGGGGUGUGAAUGUUAGGCCCAAUAGGUUUAAUGAAAUUAAGUUAAGAUAAGGAUUAGGCUAAUUAGAAGAGAAAAAGUCUUGGGGAAUUGGUCAUGGGAAGUUGUAGAGAAGAGAGAAAAUAGGAGAGAAAUUCAUUCCCGUUUUUCUUGCAGCAGUCUCACUAAAUCGAAGAUCCCCGAUUCGUUAACCGUUGGAUCGUCGCCACAUUUUGUGGGUAGGUUCGAAACACCUAUAGCUAACUUUUGACCGUUGGGAUCUUCAAAAUAAGGUCUGAGUUGUGAGAUAUGAUCAUCGCACUGUAGCUGCAUAUUUGGGAAAAUUUUCAGCUUUUGAUUCUGAUUAAAAGAGGCAAUGGUUGGGAGCUAAGGCUAGAUGGCUUCGAUCGGUAGAAUUGUAGAACGGACUCCGAAUACAAGGUAAGGGGUGGGGUUCUAACUCUAUAACCGGACUCAUGAUGAAUGAUAUGUGGGGGUUAAAUUCGUAGGAAAUUAUUCCUGAUUAUUUGUUGUGAUUCUGUCGUGUUGAUUCGAUGAAAUUAGUUGUUGUUGUGGUGAUAAUUGUUGUUGUUUUAUGCGAAGUUGAAGGAUGUUUCAGUGACGAUGUAUACCUCUAUUUAUUAGUAUAGCGACGAUAUAGGCUUAUGCCUUGUGACGAUGAUGUUGUUUGUUGUGUGUGUUUGUUGCAUUCAUAUACAUAUGCAUUUUUGGCGACGGCCUGGAUUGGCAAAUUAGUGACGAAGGCUUAUGCCUUGAUGCCUCUGUUUAACUGGCAAUUGGCGAUGGGGGCUGAAGCCCUGGGUACCACAUGCAUGUGCAGUUGUAGAGUCUCAUUGUAUGCGGCAUGAGUGUGAUUUAAUUGUGACGUGAUGUGACUUGAGUUGUUGUUAAAUUGUGAUAAUAUGGAGUUGUAAUUAUAAAUUGUUAUACUAAUGACGUGUUGUGACAGGUAUUGUCUGGAAGAUGAGAAAUAGUUUUUAUAACUAUUAAUAUGUUGUUGUUAUUGAUUUUUGUUAAUAUAACUGUUCAGGUUAAUUGUUAUUAUAAAUGUAGUCUGAAAGCUGUAACGUGAUAAUUUCGUAUGAUUAAAUUCUAAUAUAUUGUUUAUCAUGCGUUUGUUUAUAUUGGUAGAUAUCUCACCCUUUCUGAAUGAUGUUUCCCUACCAUGGGAAAUUGACAGGUACUCAAGAUAGCGGUGGAAGUUUGAAGUGAUUUUAUGAAGUCUUUAGUUGCUGUUAGUCGAGUUGGUGUCUUGCUCUGAUACGUAGCACUCGGGGGGAUAAAGCGAUUGUUUUAAUUAUUAUUUCUUUUGCUGAAUUUUUAUAUGGUUUUGGUUUAAAUUGUAACUUAAAGUUACCGUGCAAUGAUGCUACGACUUGAACUGAAUAUUUAUGAAGUUUGUUGAUUCCGCUGCGAGUUAAUUAUUGAAUUUAAACAAAGUGAUUUUUAGUAAUGAUUUGAUUAUCGUUUUAAAUUUAUGUGCUAUGUAUCUAUGUGAAGGCAAAUAAGCCGUAACUGUUUUUGAAAUGACGAAUAUGUGAUACCUCAAAUGAACUUGUUUGGAAUUUAUACUCUGAUUUUAUUAUAUUUUUCGGGUAGAAUUUGGGGUGUUACAUUAGUGGUAUCAGAGCCUGGUUGGUCCGUCCGGCCAAGUUGUCUAAUGUUAUUUAUUCCUCUGUACGCGACAAGUGUGUGAAACACUGUCGGUACUUGUUGCUUUCUGGUUGUUGCAGGAAUUAGUUUGAGCGAAGUGGGGGAGAAGCUUUGCUUCUCGGAUGUGGUUCAGUUGCAAGUUCGCAAAGAGGAUUGUUGUCUGGGUGUUUCGAAAACUGAAUUUCGACGAAAGAAUGUGUCUCUCGAGUUAUAAAAAGUUUGGGAGUGAGGAGAUAUGUUAAGAGUUUUUUUGGAAUAUGUUUAAGUUGAAGAAAAAUGAGUUUUGGAGUGGAAAUUCCGUAAGCAAAACGCAGGAAAUUGCUGAAUGUUUUGUGAAACUUCAAAAAUUCAUAACUUGAGUUCUGGACAUCCGAUUUGAGUCCCGUUUGAAGCGUUGGAAAGCUAACGAGAUGAAAUUUAUUUUAAAAAUGGUUCCAUCAUCUUUAAUAGAAUUAUUUGUAACAAGAUGAUGUUGGAAAGAGAUGAAGUUUGCGUUUACGCUUGUCCUUGGGACCAGACUUGUGCGUUGGUGUCGCGCUGAACGUUAGUGUCAGAGUUGAGUGAAUUGAAGGAGCAAUUAAAGGGUUUGUUUAGAAGAAAUUUUAAGAAUUAGGUGUACCAUUUGAGAAGUUUUGGGGAUACCGUAAAGAGUGUCGCCGCAUGGCGUCGAUGUUCGCACUUUCGAAUGGCGUUGGAAUAGUUAACAAGUUAGUAACGGUUAUGUUGAAGAAGUACCAGAAUGGUCGACAUAUGUGUAGUCGAUUUGAGAUGUGUCAAUGGGUUGUUAUGUUUGAUGGUUGGACGUGGAAGUGAAGUUGAAGAUGGGUGUAUCGGAUAAAUUUUCGAGGACGAAAAUAUUCUAAGUGGGGGAGAGUUGUAACACCCGGUAUUUAAUUAAUUAUUUAAUUAAAUACUUUCAAAUUAUUUCGAAUUUAAUUAUUGAAUUUGUGGAGUGUUGAGAAUUAUUGACAUGGGUUUUAUGAUUAAUUAGUUGAUCAAUUAAUUGAUUAAGUUGUAGAAAUAGUAUUGAAGAAAUACUAAAUUUACUAUAUGGACUUAAUUAAGUGAUGGUGGUAGUAAAACGUGGGGUGUGAAUGUUAGGCCCAAUAGGUUUAAUGAAAUUAAGUUAAGAUAAGGAUUAGGCUAAUUAGAAGAGAAAAAGUCUUGGGGAAUUGGUCAUGGGAAGUUGUAGAGAAGAGAGAAAAUAGGAGAGAAAUUCAUUCCCGUUUUUCUUGCAGCAGUCUCACUAAAUCGAAGAUCCCCGAUUCGUUAACCGUUGGAUCGUCGCCACAUUUUGUGGGUAGGUUCGAAACACCUAUAGCUAACUUUUGACCGUUGGGAUCUUCAAAAUAAGGUCUGAGUUGUGAGAUAUGAUCAUCGCACUGUAGCUGCAUAUUUGGGAAAAUUUUCAGCUUUUGAUUCUGAUUAAAAGAGGCAAUGGUUGGGAGCUAAGGCUAGAUGGCUUCGAUCGGUAGAAUUGUAGAACGGACUCCGAAUACAAGGUAAGGGGUGGGGUUCUAACUCUAUAACCGGACUCAUGAUGAAUGAUAUGUGGGGGUUAAAUUCGUAGGAAAUUAUUCCUGAUUAUUUGUUGUGAUUCUGUCGUGUUGAUUCGAUGAAAUUAGUUGUUGUUGUGGUGAUAAUUGUUGUUGUUUUAUGCGAAGUUGAAGGAUGUUUCAGUGACGAUGUAUACCUCUAUUUAUUAGUAUAGCGACGAUAUAGGCUUAUGCCUUGUGACGAUGAUGUUGUUUGUUGUGUGUGUUUGUUGCAUUCAUAUACAUAUGCAUUUUUGGCGACGGCCUGGAUUGGCAAAUUAGUGACGAAGGCUUAUGCCUUGAUGCCUCUGUUUAACUGGCAAUUGGCGAUGGGGGCUGAAGCCCUGGGUACCACAUGCAUGUGCAGUUGUAGAGUCUCAUUGUAUGCGGCAUGAGUGUGAUUUAAUUGUGACGUGAUGUGACUUGAGUUGUUGUUAAAUUGUGAUAAUAUGGAGUUGUAAUUAUAAAUUGUUAUACUAAUGACGUGUUGUGACAGGUAUUGUCUGGAAGAUGAGAAAUAGUUUUUAUAACUAUUAAUAUGUUGUUGUUAUUGAUUUUUGUUAAUAUAACUGUUCAGGUUAAUUGUUAUUAUAAAUGUAGUCUGAAAGCUGUAACGUGAUAAUUUCGUAUGAUUAAAUUCUAAUAUAUUGUUUAUCAUGCGUUUGUUUAUAUUGGUAGAUAUCUCACCCUUUCUGAAUGAUGUUUCCCUACCAUGGGAAAUUGACAGGUACUCAAGAUAGCGGUGGAAGUUUGAAGUGAUUUUAUGAAGUCUUUAGUUGCUGUUAGUCGAGUUGGUGUCUUGCUCUGAUACGUAGCACUCGGGGGGAUAAAGCGAUUGUUUUAAUUAUUAUUUCUUUUGCUGAAUUUUUAUAUGGUUUUGGUUUAAAUUGUAACUUAAAGUUACCGUGCAAUGAUGCUACGACUUGAACUGAAUAUUUAUGAAGUUUGUUGAUUCCGCUGCGAGUUAAUUAUUGAAUUUAAACAAAGUGAUUUUUAGUAAUGAUUUGAUUAUCGUUUUAAAUUUAUGUGCUAUGUAUCUAUGUGAAGGCAAAUAAGCCGUAACUGUUUUUGAAAUGACGAAUAUGUGAUACCUCAAAUGAACUUGUUUGGAAUUUAUACUCUGAUUUUAUUAUAUUUUUCGGGUAGAAUUUGGGGUGUUACAUUAGUGGUAUCAGAGCCUGGUUGGUCCGUCCGGCCAAGUUGUCUAAUGUUAUUUAUUCCUCUGUACGCGACAAGUGUGUGAAACACUGUCGGUACUUGUUGCUUUCUGGUUGUUGCAGGAAUUAGUUUGAGCGAAGUGGGGGAGAAGCUUUGCUUCUCGGAUGUGGUUCAGUUGCAAGUUCGCAAAGAGGAUUGUUGUCUGGGUGUUUCGAAAACUGAAUUUCGACGAAAGAAUGUGUCUCUCGAGUUAUAAAAAGUUUGGGAGUGAGGAGAUAUGUUAAGAGUUUUUUUGGAAUAUGUUUAAGUUGAAGAAAAAUGAGUUUUGGAGUGGAAAUUCCGUAAGCAAAACGCAGGAAAUUGCUGAAUGUUUUGUGAAACUUCAAAAAUUCAUAACUUGAGUUCUGGACAUCCGAUUUGAGUCCCGUUUGAAGCGUUGGAAAGCUAACGAGAUGAAAUUUAUUUUAAAAAUGGUUCCAUCAUCUUUAAUAGAAUUAUUUGUAACAAGAUGAUGUUGGAAAGAGAUGAAGUUUGCGUUUACGCUUGUCCUUGGGACCAGACUUGUGCGUUGGUGUCGCGCUGAACGUUAGUGUCAGAGUUGAGUGAAUUGAAGGAGCAAUUAAAGGGUUUGUUUAGAAGAAAUUUUAAGAAUUAGGUGUACCAUUUGAGAAGUUUUGGGGAUACCGUAAAGAGUGUCGCCGCAUGGCGUCGAUGUUCGCACUUUCGAAUGGCGUUGGAAUAGUUAACAAGUUAGUAACGGUUAUGUUGAAGAAGUACCAGAAUGGUCGACAUAUGUGUAGUCGAUUUGAGAUGUGUCAAUGGGUUGUUAUGUUUGAUGGUUGGACGUGGAAGUGAAGUUGAAGAUGGGUGUAUCGGAUAAAUUUUCGAGGACGAAAAUAUUCUAAGUGGGGGAGAGUUGUAACACCCGGUAUUUAAUUAAUUAUUUAAUUAAAUACUUUCAAAUUAUUUCGAAUUUAAUUAUUGAAUUUGUGGAGUGUUGAGAAUUAUUGACAUGGGUUUUAUGAUUAAUUAGUUGAUCAAUUAAUUGAUUAAGUUGUAGAAAUAGUAUUGAAGAAAUACUAAAUUUACUAUAUGGACUUAAUUAAGUGAUGGUGGUAGUAAAACGUGGGGUGUGAAUGUUAGGCCCAAUAGGUUUAAUGAAAUUAAGUUAAGAUAAGGAUUAGGCUAAUUAGAAGAGAAAAAGUCUUGGGGAAUUGGUCAUGGGAAGUUGUAGAGAAGAGAGAAAAUAGGAGAGAAAUUCAUUCCCGUUUUUCUUGCAGCAGUCUCACUAAAUCGAAGAUCCCCGAUUCGUUAACCGUUGGAUCGUCGCCACAUUUUGUGGGUAGGUUCGAAACACCUAUAGCUAACUUUUGACCGUUGGGAUCUUCAAAAUAAGGUCUGAGUUGUGAGAUAUGAUCAUCGCACUGUAGCUGCAUAUUUGGGAAAAUUUUCAGCUUUUGAUUCUGAUUAAAAGAGGCAAUGGUUGGGAGCUAAGGCUAGAUGGCUUCGAUCGGUAGAAUUGUAGAACGGACUCCGAAUACAAGGUAAGGGGUGGGGUUCUAACUCUAUAACCGGACUCAUGAUGAAUGAUAUGUGGGGGUUAAAUUCGUAGGAAAUUAUUCCUGAUUAUUUGUUGUGAUUCUGUCGUGUUGAUUCGAUGAAAUUAGUUGUUGUUGUGGUGAUAAUUGUUGUUGUUUUAUGCGAAGUUGAAGGAUGUUUCAGUGACGAUGUAUACCUCUAUUUAUUAGUAUAGCGACGAUAUAGGCUUAUGCCUUGUGACGAUGAUGUUGUUUGUUGUGUGUGUUUGUUGCAUUCAUAUACAUAUGCAUUUUUGGCGACGGCCUGGAUUGGCAAAUUAGUGACGAAGGCUUAUGCCUUGAUGCCUCUGUUUAACUGGCAAUUGGCGAUGGGGGCUGAAGCCCUGGGUACCACAUGCAUGUGCAGUUGUAGAGUCUCAUUGUAUGCGGCAUGAGUGUGAUUUAAUUGUGACGUGAUGUGACUUGAGUUGUUGUUAAAUUGUGAUAAUAUGGAGUUGUAAUUAUAAAUUGUUAUACUAAUGACGUGUUGUGACAGGUAUUGUCUGGAAGAUGAGAAAUAGUUUUUAUAACUAUUAAUAUGUUGUUGUUAUUGAUUUUUGUUAAUAUAACUGUUCAGGUUAAUUGUUAUUAUAAAUGUAGUCUGAAAGCUGUAACGUGAUAAUUUCGUAUGAUUAAAUUCUAAUAUAUUGUUUAUCAUGCGUUUGUUUAUAUUGGUAGAUAUCUCACCCUUUCUGAAUGAUGUUUCCCUACCAUGGGAAAUUGACAGGUACUCAAGAUAGCGGUGGAAGUUUGAAGUGAUUUUAUGAAGUCUUUAGUUGCUGUUAGUCGAGUUGGUGUCUUGCUCUGAUACGUAGCACUCGGGGGGAUAAAGCGAUUGUUUUAAUUAUUAUUUCUUUUGCUGAAUUUUUAUAUGGUUUUGGUUUAAAUUGUAACUUAAAGUUACCGUGCAAUGAUGCUACGACUUGAACUGAAUAUUUAUGAAGUUUGUUGAUUCCGCUGCGAGUUAAUUAUUGAAUUUAAACAAAGUGAUUUUUAGUAAUGAUUUGAUUAUCGUUUUAAAUUUAUGUGCUAUGUAUCUAUGUGAAGGCAAAUAAGCCGUAACUGUUUUUGAAAUGACGAAUAUGUGAUACCUCAAAUGAACUUGUUUGGAAUUUAUACUCUGAUUUUAUUAUAUUUUUCGGGUAGAAUUUGGGGUGUUACAUUAGUGGUAUCAGAGCCUGGUUGGUCCGUCCGGCCAAGUUGUCUAAUGUUAUUUAUUCCUCUGUACGCGACAAGUGUGUGAAACACUGUCGGUACUUGUUGCUUUCUGGUUGUUGCAGGAAUUAGUUUGAGCGAAGUGGGGGAGAAGCUUUGCUUCUCGGAUGUGGUUCAGUUGCAAGUUCGCAAAGAGGAUUGUUGUCUGGGUGUUUCGAAAACUGAAUUUCGACGAAAGAAUGUGUCUCUCGAGUUAUAAAAAGUUUGGGAGUGAGGAGAUAUGUUAAGAGUUUUUUUGGAAUAUGUUUAAGUUGAAGAAAAAUGAGUUUUGGAGUGGAAAUUCCGUAAGCAAAACGCAGGAAAUUGCUGAAUGUUUUGUGAAACUUCAAAAAUUCAUAACUUGAGUUCUGGACAUCCGAUUUGAGUCCCGUUUGAAGCGUUGGAAAGCUAACGAGAUGAAAUUUAUUUUAAAAAUGGUUCCAUCAUCUUUAAUAGAAUUAUUUGUAACAAGAUGAUGUUGGAAAGAGAUGAAGUUUGCGUUUACGCUUGUCCUUGGGACCAGACUUGUGCGUUGGUGUCGCGCUGAACGUUAGUGUCAGAGUUGAGUGAAUUGAAGGAGCAAUUAAAGGGUUUGUUUAGAAGAAAUUUUAAGAAUUAGGUGUACCAUUUGAGAAGUUUUGGGGAUACCGUAAAGAGUGUCGCCGCAUGGCGUCGAUGUUCGCACUUUCGAAUGGCGUUGGAAUAGUUAACAAGUUAGUAACGGUUAUGUUGAAGAAGUACCAGAAUGGUCGACAUAUGUGUAGUCGAUUUGAGAUGUGUCAAUGGGUUGUUAUGUUUGAUGGUUGGACGUGGAAGUGAAGUUGAAGAUGGGUGUAUCGGAUAAAUUUUCGAGGACGAAAAUAUUCUAAGUGGGGGAGAGUUGUAACACCCGGUAUUUAAUUAAUUAUUUAAUUAAAUACUUUCAAAUUAUUUCGAAUUUAAUUAUUGAAUUUGUGGAGUGUUGAGAAUUAUUGACAUGGGUUUUAUGAUUAAUUAGUUGAUCAAUUAAUUGAUUAAGUUGUAGAAAUAGUAUUGAAGAAAUACUAAAUUUACUAUAUGGACUUAAUUAAGUGAUGGUGGUAGUAAAACGUGGGGUGUGAAUGUUAGGCCCAAUAGGUUUAAUGAAAUUAAGUUAAGAUAAGGAUUAGGCUAAUUAGAAGAGAAAAAGUCUUGGGGAAUUGGUCAUGGGAAGUUGUAGAGAAGAGAGAAAAUAGGAGAGAAAUUCAUUCCCGUUUUUCUUGCAGCAGUCUCACUAAAUCGAAGAUCCCCGAUUCGUUAACCGUUGGAUCGUCGCCACAUUUUGUGGGUAGGUUCGAAACACCUAUAGCUAACUUUUGACCGUUGGGAUCUUCAAAAUAAGGUCUGAGUUGUGAGAUAUGAUCAUCGCACUGUAGCUGCAUAUUUGGGAAAAUUUUCAGCUUUUGAUUCUGAUUAAAAGAGGCAAUGGUUGGGAGCUAAGGCUAGAUGGCUUCGAUCGGUAGAAUUGUAGAACGGACUCCGAAUACAAGGUAAGGGGUGGGGUUCUAACUCUAUAACCGGACUCAUGAUGAAUGAUAUGUGGGGGUUAAAUUCGUAGGAAAUUAUUCCUGAUUAUUUGUUGUGAUUCUGUCGUGUUGAUUCGAUGAAAUUAGUUGUUGUUGUGGUGAUAAUUGUUGUUGUUUUAUGCGAAGUUGAAGGAUGUUUCAGUGACGAUGUAUACCUCUAUUUAUUAGUAUAGCGACGAUAUAGGCUUAUGCCUUGUGACGAUGAUGUUGUUUGUUGUGUGUGUUUGUUGCAUUCAUAUACAUAUGCAUUUUUGGCGACGGCCUGGAUUGGCAAAUUAGUGACGAAGGCUUAUGCCUUGAUGCCUCUGUUUAACUGGCAAUUGGCGAUGGGGGCUGAAGCCCUGGGUACCACAUGCAUGUGCAGUUGUAGAGUCUCAUUGUAUGCGGCAUGAGUGUGAUUUAAUUGUGACGUGAUGUGACUUGAGUUGUUGUUAAAUUGUGAUAAUAUGGAGUUGUAAUUAUAAAUUGUUAUACUAAUGACGUGUUGUGACAGGUAUUGUCUGGAAGAUGAGAAAUAGUUUUUAUAACUAUUAAUAUGUUGUUGUUAUUGAUUUUUGUUAAUAUAACUGUUCAGGUUAAUUGUUAUUAUAAAUGUAGUCUGAAAGCUGUAACGUGAUAAUUUCGUAUGAUUAAAUUCUAAUAUAUUGUUUAUCAUGCGUUUGUUUAUAUUGGUAGAUAUCUCACCCUUUCUGAAUGAUGUUUCCCUACCAUGGGAAAUUGACAGGUACUCAAGAUAGCGGUGGAAGUUUGAAGUGAUUUUAUGAAGUCUUUAGUUGCUGUUAGUCGAGUUGGUGUCUUGCUCUGAUACGUAGCACUCGGGGGGAUAAAGCGAUUGUUUUAAUUAUUAUUUCUUUUGCUGAAUUUUUAUAUGGUUUUGGUUUAAAUUGUAACUUAAAGUUACCGUGCAAUGAUGCUACGACUUGAACUGAAUAUUUAUGAAGUUUGUUGAUUCCGCUGCGAGUUAAUUAUUGAAUUUAAACAAAGUGAUUUUUAGUAAUGAUUUGAUUAUCGUUUUAAAUUUAUGUGCUAUGUAUCUAUGUGAAGGCAAAUAAGCCGUAACUGUUUUUGAAAUGACGAAUAUGUGAUACCUCAAAUGAACUUGUUUGGAAUUUAUA